rnacentral:rRNA from 1 species
CAUGCUUAGUAGGUACAGAACUGUGAUCUCGGUCAAAAUAUUUAUUUUGUUAAACAAAAUAAAUUUGUAUAUAUCGGGGAAUCGUGAAGAUUUUAUCGGAGAGUAUUUGCACUCGGAAGGGUUAAGAUGAAUAUUAAAAAAUCGGACAUAGUACGAUAAGGUUGUAUGUCAAAAGGGAAACAGCCCAGAACAAGAGUUAAUAAGGUUCCAAAAUUAUUAUUAAGUGAAAUUAAGGAUGUGUCUUUGAAUACGAUCAAUUAAUAGGCUUGGAAGCGGCCAUUUUUUAAUGAUCUCGUAACAGAGCAUUGAUUUUUAAGAAGAUCACACCGAAAAUAUAACGGAUCUAAAUAAUAUACCGAAACCUUGUCCAUAUGUAGUUUUUUCAAAAAAUAUAUAUGGGGUAGCGGAACAUUGGAUAAAUUUAAGACUUAUUCUUUUUAAGAUUAAAAAAUUAAAUAAUCCAAGUGAGAAUGCUGACAUGAGUAACGAAAAAGAUAAAUCUCGCCUUAAGCUUAUGGUAUUUAAUUAAAACGGCUUCUAAGCAUAAGUUGGUAAUAUAUUUAAGUAUCUAAACACUAAUAGGGUAGAUAUGUUAAAUUGCACUAGCUCUUUAAAAAAAUAAAAAAAAAGUAUAAAAUAUGAAUCGUAUAAGACAAUUUUUAAGAUACGGCUAAGAUAAUUUUAUAUGUCUCUUAAAAAAUAAUUGUUUUAGUUUUUGGAGUAAAAAAAAAUAUAACCCUAACUUUGACUUAGCCUUUUUUUACUCUAUAAAAACUAUUGUAUCGGUCUUUUGUCCGAUCAAUAUAACGAAAUUAGAGCAGCGUAAGGCGUAAUCCCUUACGGAUAAUGUUUUGUCAAUUUUAUACCCUAUUAAAUAUUUUAUAAAGAAUGUGAUGAAAUUUUUAACAAAACUAAUUAAAGUUAGAUUAGUUCAGGAAAACAAAAACAACCGUACCUAGAUACUAACACAAGUAAG